CCUACGGGAGGCUGCAGUGAGGAAUAUUGGUCAAUGGGCGGAAGCCUGAACCAGCCAAGUAGCGUGCAGGAUGACGGCCCUACGGGUUGUAAACUGCUUUUAUACGGGAAUAACGCGCCUUACGUGUAGGGCUUUGCAUGUACCGUAUGAAUAAGGACCGGCUAAUUCCGUGCCAGCCGCCGCGGUAAUACGGAAGGUCCGGGCGUUUUCCGGAUUACUUGGGUUUAAAGGGAGCGUAGGCCGCAUGUCAUGCGUGCUGUGAAAUGUCCGGGCUCAACCCGGGCCUUGCAGCGCGAACUGGCGUGCUUGAGUCCGCGGAAAGCAGGCGGAAUUCGUCGUGUAGCGGUGAAAUGCUUAGAUAUGACGAAGAACCCCGAGUGCGAAGGCAGCUUGCUGCAGCGGAACUGACGCUGAUGCUCGAAAGCGCGGGUAUCGAACAGGAUUAGAUACCCUUGUAGUC
rnacentral:rRNA from 1 species